AUGUUAAGUAGAAGCCCAGGAGCAGCACUCAGAAAAAACUGCGCUCUGUUUGCAGUCUGCUGGCUUGUAGACCAUUGCAUCCUGCUUGCUUCUCAGAGACCUGGCUUGGACUUGUGCUGUUUUUCAUACGGCUUUCAUAAACAGGUUAUUUUCAUUAAAGUGAGAGCUGGGAUGAAAGGUUUUGAAGUAGACAAAGACAGAGAGCUGUUGGAGAGGGUCCAGAGGAGAGCCACAAAGAUGAUCAGGGGGCUGGAGCACCUCCCCUAUGAAGACAGGCUGAGGGAGCCAGGUUUGUUCAGUCUGGAGAAAAGAAGGCUGCGGGGUGACCUCAUUGCAGCCUUUCAGUACCUAAAGGGAGCCUACAAACAGGAGGGCAAUCAACUCUUUGAAAGGGUAGGUAACUGCAGGACAAGGGGAAAUGGUUUUAAGUUGAGAGAGGGAAGAUUUAGGUUGGAUGUCAGGGGGAAGUUCUUUACAGAGGGAGUGGUGAGGUGCUGGAACAGGCUGCCCAGAGGGGUUGUGGAUGCCCCGUCCCUGGAGGUGUUCAAGGCCAGGUUGGAUGGGGCCCUGGGCAGCCUGGUCUAGCUUAGGUGGGAAGGUUGGUAGCUCUGCCUGUGACAGGGGGGUUGGAGAUUCAUGAUCCUGAGGUCCCCUCCAACCUGGGCCACUCUGUGUUUCUGUGAAAUAGCUCCUUUGUAAUUACUUAAGGCUCAUAUUGUCCAAAAAUUGUAUGAAGGCUUUCUCUGUGCUUCUCUAACAUGGAACUCAUACUCUUCAACUUUUGCCAACUGUCAGAGUUCCCAGUCCAUCCAGGGCCUCUUCCAAUCUGUUUCACAAGUUUACCUGCGGCCCUUCUCCCCCAUGACUUCUCAGUACUUUGAAGAGUGAGCAGUGACUUAAGACAGAUUAAAGGUGAUAUGGUCUGAUGCCUAAGAUCUCAUCGCUUGCUCAGCUUGCUUUUACUCCAUCAUAACUCUUUCGCUGAGCAUGUUGUUUUAUUGAUGUUCUCUGGAGAUUGUAAAACUGGCAGGAUAGGUUAUAUGAACAGCUUUGCACAGCUCCCUUGAAUGGAGCUCUAACUCUGAGUUCCCUGGAAAUUCUUUUGUCUGGCUAUCUUUGUGAGCGCUUCUUCGUUUCAUCUUCUUUGGAAGAUAAACUUGCCAGAUGUUCUCCUCCUCCUUCCCCAGCUUGUUGAAAUCAUGUUUUCCCGCAGAUGAGCGUGGAGGAGUCUCUGACUGUUUAGUUCUAAUAUUCUUUGCAUUAAAAACAAUGAAAUGUUUCCCAUGCUGGGAGAGCUUUGGUCUUUCUCAAGACCUGAGGCUUGCCCUACAUAGUAUUUGUGUGGUAAGCGUUAUGGAUUUUUCUUUUCUUGCUUUAUCGUACAGGAAACGUGGUUUAUUCCAGAUCUGCAGAAGGUGCAGAUUCAGCAGAAUCAUUUAGUAUUUGAAUUUCAAGUUAUGUGCAGGUCUCAGCCAUGAGAUUUGGCCUUCUUUAACCUAGUUUAAUGGAAAAGAAGUCCUUCUUACUAUGAUAGGCAGCCCUGCGGCUGAAAGUGUAAAACCUGAAUUCUGUGCCUGUUAUCCAC
ensembl:lncRNA